UUCGGGGAUGCGGGCCAGUGGCGCGGCAACGUCGCGGGUAGUGCAGCGGACGCGCAUCUCUACGACGACCCGGAUGCCGCCGCCAUCCCGGCGCGCCUCGACCUCCCGCUUCCACGGCGAGAAGGUCGACGCUCAUGCGCCUCCACGCCCUCAUCUAGCAGGGCUUCUACGUCGCUCACCUCUUCCCGCAGCGCAGGCGGUCAAGAACGUGCCGGCAUGGUUGAUCGAGGUGAAGAAGCUCGUCCACCUUUACCUGUUCCACCACGCCGAGAAGUUUAAAUCGGCGUGUAAGUGAAGGUGUAUUUCUCCUUCACGCCUUCGACGUCGACCCCCUUCCCCUUGGUGUAGUACUGUUUAAUCAGGCAGACCCGUUCUGGCCCACAAUGCCAUUUCUCUUUUUCUAAAAUCCAGGAAAUCAAUAUCUUUCAAAAGAUUCAAGGACGUUCGAGGAGUGACCAAAACCAUUGAAGACUUUGCUGAGCGAGGCAAGCAAUCUACUUUGAUCAUGUUGAACCCAUAUUUGCAUUACACUUAUAAUUAAUUUUCAUGCAUAAAGUAUUAUUUACUAGUAUUGCUAUGUUAAGUAAAUUAGCUAGGGUUUAGCUAUGCCAUAUGUCCUUAAUAUUGAACACCCUUUGACAUUCUUAUGCUAAGUUAAUUAGCUAGGGUUUAGCUAUCCUCUAUGUGCUUAUUAUUGACACCCUCCUUUGACAUUCUUAAAACCCCUCCUUUCUAACCAUGUAGUGGUCACAAAUAAAUGUGCGUCAUAUGUGCAAGUUUAAUAGUAAUGCUUAGCCAUGCUAGUCGUGUAAAUCAUAGGACUUGGGAAGAAUCUUUAUUACUCAUAAAUGUUUUACAAAAACCCAAGGGUGUCACUAAUGCCCAUGGGAUGAUUCUGAAAAUACGGUUUUACAAAAUGGAGAUGAAGUGGAGAUUUAGUUAGGUGAUUGUAAUCUUGACGAGAUAGUCAAAGAUGUUCGGUGGAUUAUGAAAAUUUAUGUCUAGUAAAUGAGCAUGGUGGUUAUUAUAUUGGUGGAUAAAUGGAUCUUUAAUAAACUUGAAGCAAUUUGGGUUUAGUUAGGCGAUUAUGAUCUUGAACCAAAUUUUAUGGUGGAUUACGAGAUUUUGAUGCGAAGGGGAGCCUUGGCGCAGUGGUAAAGCUGCUGCCUUGUGACCAUGAGGUCAUGGGUUCAAGU